GAUGGGACUGCAGAGCCAACUGUGUAGACAAAGGAGAAAAUAUCUUCUGUCUACAGAAGGCGACAGUCCUACAUAAACAUGAGAUCUCUGACCAC